GACUCCAUGGCCCAAUGGAUAAGGUGCUGGUCUAUGAAACCAGAGAUUUUGGGGACGAUCCCUAGUGGAGUCG
rnacentral:tRNA from 1 species